rnacentral:rRNA from 1 species
GACAGAGGCCUCGAGCGUUAGGCGGAAUCACUGGGCUUAAAGCGUGUGUAGGCGGGCCCGUAAGUGUCUUGUGAAAUCCCACGGCUCAACCGUGGAACUGCUGGGCAUACUGGCGGGUCUUGGGCCAACUAGGGGCAGCCGGAACAAGCGGUGGAGCGGUGAAAUGCGUAGAUAUCGCUUGGAACGCCGAAGGUGAAAACAGGCUGCUGGGGUUGCGCCGACGCUGAGACACGAAAGCCAGGGAGGCAAACGGG